UGCGCAUAUCCAAUAAGCGGAGGAAAAGAAACCAACAGGGAUUGCCUCAGUAACGGCGAGUGAAGCGGCAAUAGCUCAAAUUUGAAAUCUGCCCCUGGGGCUGAGUUGUACUUUGCAGAGGAUGCUUUCGGCGCGGCGUCGUAGAAGUCCUCUGGAACGGGGCGCCAUGGAGGGUGAGAGCCCCGUACACGCAGACGCCAAGCUGGUGUAAAGCUCCAUCGACGAGUCGAGUAGUUUGGGAAUGCUGCUCUAAAUGGGAGGUAAAUUCCUUCUAAAGCUAAAUAUUUGCCAGAGACCGAUAGCGCACAAGUAGAGUGAUCGAAAGAUGAAAAGCACUUUGAAAAGAGAGUUAAACAGCACGUGAAAUUGUUGAGAGGGAAGCGCCUGUGACCAGACGUGAGCUGGGACAAUCUCCUGCCGUUGUCGGCAGUGCACUCGUCCCGGUUCAGGCCAGCGUCAGUUUCCCUGGGGGAAGAAAAGCGCAGGUUACGUAGCUCUUUUUGGAGUGAUAUAGGCCGCGUAGAAUGCCCUCCGGGGAGAACUGAGGACCGCGCCCUGCAAGGAAGUUGGCAUAAUGGUCACCGACGACCCGUCUUGACCACGGACCAUUUA
rnacentral:rRNA from 1 species